AAAACGACAAACCCUGGUUUCCGUGCCCAACGUUUGACCGUCCGUCUUAUUUGAAAAAAUUAUGAAAAAAAUUAAAAAGACAAGUCACACAUAAAAUAUUAAUCAUGUUUUAUCAUCUAACAACAAUGAAAAUAUAAAUUGUAAAAAAAUUUCAUAAGAAGGACAGUCAAUACGGAAAUCCAGGGUUUGUUUUUUU
rfam:Oryza glumipatula chromosome 4, whole genome shotgun sequence.